rnacentral:lncRNA from 1 species
GUAUACCUCCACUAGGGGCUCUAAGCAUAUUACUGGCCGUAGAAGUGGUAGAAAAGGAAUAUAUGCCCAAUAUAAUUGUUUCAGCAGUUACUGGGGGGGGGGGGGGUGGGGGGAGUACUCAUAGCAAUGGUGAGCACAGCCGUCAUAGCUAUUAUUAGAUUAUUCAUCAUAGCUGGUCAUUCCGCCACCUUCAGAUUUUCUUCUCCCAUCUUUGUCAACUUCUUGAUGUGGCCCCAGACUAUUGAGACAAGCUGUGGAAGGGCCAAUGAGUUUUGCCACCCAUCCCCUACCUCUAAAAUGGGCAAAUCAGUGUCUUCAUGAAGGAAGGAAGCUUAAAGCACUUAAUAUGAAAUAAGGACAUUACCAGAUAAAAGAGAACUGAGAAUUUGUUGUCAGCAUCCCCAUACUAUAAGAAAUGCCAGCGUAGUUUCUUCAGGUUGAAGGGAAAGAAUACCAGAGGAAAACUUGAAUCUUCAGGAAGGAAUGGCAUCAUUGGAAAUGACUAUUAUGCUGAUCCAUUAUAUUGAUGAUAUCAUGAAGAUAUGAGGUAAAAAGGAGAAAACAGUGAAGAAUGGUGGAAGCCUUAAGGUAUAUGUGCACCAGUGGGCAGAAGAAAUCCCUACAGAAUUUCAGCAGCCGGCCAAAAUGAUUUUCUACCAAAUAAAAAAAGGUGACCUUCACUCUUCAAAAUUAUCAAAAGAAGAAUGAGGAACUGUUCCAGAUUAAAGACAUGACAACCAAACAACGUGAUUCUGUACUGGAUCCUUCACUGAGCUGGGGGUAAGGGGAGCUAGAGCAGACAUUGAGACAAUUGAUGGACAUUUGAUUAAAAACUAUGAAUUAGAUAAUAUCAGUAUUAACUUCCCUGGGUUUCCUAAUUGUACUGUGGUUAUAUAAGAGAACAUUCCUAUUCUUCGGUAAAAGGACACCGAGCCAUAAUUCAUUUUCCAAGCUUUCAUUAGGAAUUGAGUUCUCGACCACCUGGAACAUUUUCCCUGGGCAUUUGUGGGUGUUUAUCUUAGAGGAUAUGCUGCUUUUGGUGGGUUUGUGGCUUAGGAAAGAACCCACCUGGAACCAGGUCUCCUGGGGCCAUAACGCCCUGCUCUGCUUAGCAUCCUGUAGCCAGGCUGGAUUCUCAACUCUUUGUAAAUCUCAGUCAUCUUUCUCUGCUACUCUCAUUUCCAAAGUGGAGAUAAAUAAUAGCACCCACUGGUCGGGCGCGGUGGCUCACGCCUGUAAUAAUCCCAGCACUUUGGGAGGCCGAGGCGGGCGGAUCACCUGAGGUCAAGAGUUCGAGACCAGCCUGGCCAACAUAGUGAAACCCCGUCUCUACUAAAAAUACAAAAGUUAGCCGGGCGUGGUGGCAGGCACCUGUAAUCCCAGCUACUCUGGAGCCUGAGGCAGGAGAAUCGCUUGAACCCUGGAGGCGGAGGUUGCAGUGAGCGGAGAUCGCGCCAUUGUACUCCAGCCUGGGGGACAAGAGCGAGACUUCGUGGAAAACAAACAAAAACAAAAACAAAAAACACCAAAAAACAGAACCCACUACAGAGUUUUGCUCUAAGGAUGAAAUGAGAUGAAUAAAUGUAAUGCAAGUGGAAAAAAAAAAAAGGAGCUGGGCGUGGGCGGGGCCGCAGGGCCCGGGAGCUGGGUGUGGGUGGGGCGGGAGUGCGUGCCUUGCCUUGCGUGCCAGGCUAUGGAGGGAGGCGUGGCAGAUGUGGGGCGGAGCCUGAGCGUGCCUGCGUGGCACCACUCGGGGAAGCGGAGGCUAUUCCCUGGAGGAAGGAUGGGAGACUAUCAGGCUGUGGAGGAGACUGCCUUUAUUGUUGAAGUGAGCAACACUGUAAAAGAGGCUAUAGAAAGUGUAAUUGGGGCUGGGCGCGGUGGCUCACGCCUGUAAUCCCAGCACUUUGGGAGGCCAAGGCAGGCGGAUCACAAGGUCAGGAGUUCAAGACCAGCCUGGCCAACACGGUGAAAUCCCAUCUCCACUGAAAAUACAAAAAUUAGCCAGGCGUGGUGGUGGGCACUUGUAGUCCCAGCUACUCGUCGGGAGGCUGAGGCAGGAGAAUCGCUUGAACCUGGGAGGCGGAGGUUGCAGUGAGCCGAGAUUGCGCCAUUGCACUCCAGCCUGGGUGACAGAGCAAGACUGUCUCAAAAAAAAAAAAAAAAAAAAAAAAAAUCGCAGUUGGUGGUAAUGCUUAUCAACACAGCAAAGUGAACCAGUGGACCACAAAUGUAGAACAAACUUUAAGCCAACUCCCCAAGCUGGGAAAACCAUUUAAAUACAUUGUGACCUGUGUAAUUAUUCAAAAGAACGGAGCUGGAUCAUACAUGGCAAGUUCCUGCUUUUGGGACAGCUCUACUGACGGGAGCUACACUGUGCGAUGGGAGAAUAAGACCAUGUACUGCAUUGUCGGCGCCUUCGGACUGUCUAUUUGACCUCCCAGUCCAUCCUAUAACCUUUCUGCUUUUGUCUCUAGUUCAUCUUCUAACCACUAGCCAUGAAUUCAAUGAACUCCUUUCUCAUUUUCUUUAAGUGUGUUUUGUGGCACUCUGAAAAACCAGAUGACUGCACUGUGAUGUGAACUGCACUGAAGUCAGAUGAGUAUCCCUGUAGGUCACCUGCAGCCUGCAUUGCCACUUGUCUUAACUCUGAAUAUUUCUUUUCAAAGGUGCUAAAAUCUGAAAUCUGCUAGUGUGAAACAUGCUCUACUCUCUGAAAUCGUUCAAAUACAUGAAUUUUCCAUACUUUAUACUUUUGUUAGAAUAAAUUGUUCAAAUCUUUAAAAAAUGAGUUGAUUACUUUUAGGUUCUUUCAGCAAAAGCUGUCCAGAUCGGGCUGUUGCCACACUCCAAAGGACUCUGACAUCACACCCUUCCCUGACUUCUGCCCCUGCCUUGUUCUCUUUCUCAGUUUUGUUUGGGAGCACAUCUUUAAUAAACAACUUGCACAUCCUCAUCACAGGCUCUCAUUCUGGAAACCCAAACCAAGAUCUUCCUAAGCUUAUUCUACCCUAGGUGCUCAGCAGAUGUGGAUUCUCAUACCUAAGGCCCUCUCUCCUCCUCCUGGACAUGGUGAGGAGUAGAGGGUAGGAAGGCAACAGAGCCCUGGAUUUCUGUGCAGUUCCCAACUGCCAACAUUGUCAAGUCCACAUCUCAUAUUCCCUGUGCUUGUAAGUGACAGUUUAAUAUCAAUUUUAUUUUUCAAGGAAUAACUGUUUACAAGAGGUGGAACCCUUGCCGGUCAAAAAAUGUAUAGGUGAUCUUAGGGCAAGAAACCUUUCUUUCAGGCACUUAAUAGGAUACUUACAGGCAGAAGCUUCCUGAGAGUGUCAUGCUCUGGGAACCAAGAGACCUAAGGUCCAGACCUGAUUCUAUCAAGGCCUCAUGGUAUGAGCUGGAGGCCCAUGGAAUAUAAAUGACUAAUCUCCAUAUCUGCAAAGUGAGGGUACUUGGACUCAUACACUUUCGAGAAUUCAAAGAAUAGAGACUCUUCCCAGAAAAAAAAAAUCCAUUGUGCACAAAUAUUUUGCAUUCAAUUUCAAGGGUUUCUAAAUAGAUCCCACUGAAGUCCAUCACUGGAUCCUUUACUAGAUUAUUUCUAAUUAUCUUAAUAGUGCUCGCAUUUUAUAUUUGUUUUCUCAAGUCUAUAACUGAGACCCAUGUAAUCAAGGACAGACUGAGAAUGCUUGAGUAAGUAUAAAUUCUUCUGAAGCAUGAGGAUCAGAACUGUUUUUAAUUUGGUUUCUUUGUGGAGCAAAGAUGCCAUUUACUGCCAAGAAGAAAAUAUGUGUUUUAAAAAUAAAUUCUCCUACAUUCUAGGAGAAAACAUCUGGGAACAGCAUACAUCUUAUGUCCUUGGUGGGGAAUAUGUUAUCUUUCUAGUAGAAUGAAGUUGGAAUCUCACAAGAAAAGAUUCCAAUCCCAGCUCUAUCACUUAGCAGAUUUGAUGAUGAGCAAGAAUAAUAACUCAGAUUCAAAGUAAUUUUACCGUUAAAAUGGAAAAAAAACCCUUAUGCCCUCCUUAUAGGGCUAUAUUGGUGAUGAAGUUAAAUGAGACAAUACUCAUACAUUCUUUGGCAUGUUAUUCUCCUCUGUUUCACUCUAGUUUCUGUUCCUCUUCCUGUCUUAAAGGGUGGUAUUCUCUGAAUUCUUUCAUCCUUGACUCAAUCUUAUCUAUACUGUCCUUCAGUUUUAACUUCAAGGGUGGCUGAUGACUUCAAGUGUUGACCUUCAACCUUGUCCUGUCCCUCCACGUUCUGCUGUCAUAUAAUCAGAUGGGAUGUUUUCCCAUGGAGUGGGUUUCUGUGCUUUGGCCUAUUCACUAGACAAAUCUAUUUUGGUAAUGGAACUGCUCUUCUUUUCAGAGAUUUCCCUGACCAUACUUCCUCCCACCAGCAGGAAGGACAUAUAAUCCAGAAUCACUGUUCAGAUUAUCUCUUCCCAUCCACUCACUAAUUUUCCAGGGGGCAGAUAUAUGAGCCCAGUGGGGGCUGUUCAAGUUCCUUCCCAAGAGUUGAUGUGGUUGCUAAGAGCCAAGCCUCUUCAGCUUGUCAGAUCGGAAGCUUGUUGAUCGGAAAAUAAAGCAUGUCAAUUGUUAUCACCACCAUAAAGAGUGAGCCCAAGGGUGCUACAAAAGGAAAUUCAAGCUGAGAGAAUGAAAGAAAAAUUCUGAUUGUAGUUGAGUCCUGGAAUCCAGCUGUAACAGGUGGAGGUACUAAUGUUCACUUAGUCAUUCCAACAGAAAACCUGGAGUCAUCCUUAACUCUUCCUCCUCCUCCUCUUCCAUCAUGCCUACACCCAUUAUAUCCACCAGUCCUACUGUUCUUUAGUAUUUCUCAAAUUGUCUCACUCUUCUCCAUCUGAGCUCCCACCAUCCUCAUUCAUACACUCUCCUUCCUGGGUUACCAUUAGAUCUUACUAGUCUUUUUGUCUCUGAUCUUGUUACUCUCAUGUUACUGUGGUGUGAGACCAAAGAGAAUAAAUUUACAUAAAACACAUCUGGCCAUGGCAUGUAUCUGUUUAAACGUCUUCUGAGAUCCUGUUACCCCAGGAUAACAUUCAGUCUCUUCACAUGAUACAUAAAAUGUUUCAUGUGGCCUGGCGUGGUGGCUCAUGCCUGUAAUCCCAGUAUUUUGGGAGGCCGAGGCGGGUGGAUCGCCUGAGGUCAGGAGUUUGAGACCAGCCUGGCCAACAUGGUGAAACCCCGUCUCUACUAAAAAUACAAAAAUUAGCUGGGUGUAGUGGUGGGCGCCUGUAAUCCCAGCUAGAAUCACUUGAACCCGGAAGGCAGAGGUUGCAGUGAGCCGAGACUGUGCCAUUGCACUCCAGCCUGGGCAACAAGAGCGAAACUCCGUCUCAAAAAAAAAAAAAGUUUCAUGUAUCUUUAGCUGCUCUCUGCUUCCCACAUUACCAUCUGGAAACAGCACUCUUUGUAGUCAUUACCCACUAGUGAUAUGCUGUCACCCACAUUUGGUACCUUUGCUCAUCACUUUGGGAGAGCAGUGUAGCUUGUUGCUAUUAAAAAAUGAGGCUUUAGAAUCAUACUGACCUGAGUUCAAAUCCUCAUUCUGAUGUGUACCACCUACUGCUUGGGCAAGCUACUUAACUUUUACAGCCUUAUUGUUAGAUUUGAAAAAUAGGGAUGCUGAUAGUAGCGGUUUCAUUGAGCACAGUAUCAUCUGAGUUAAGAUUGCAUGAAAAGCACUUAAGACAGUAUCAGAAGGCAGCAAGGCCUGGUAGAUGUUGGACAUUUUUUUGUUGUUUGUAUUUCCUUUGCCUAGAAUGCUCUUAUUGCUGACUUUGUCCCACUAUUCAUUUUGCUGGCUCACUGCUGCACAACCUCUGACUUGGCUCAGAUAUCAUCUCUUCCAAAGGCAUCCUUGGGUGGGGGAGUCUGCAUCUGUUACCCUAGGCUCAUCACUCUCAUUGCUCUUAGCAUAUGUAUCAGACUUACCUUCUCAUCUAUUCUGAGUUCCUUGAGGGCCAUGUCAUAAUGUUUGCAUCUCCAUUUCCUAACAAUUUUUGGAUUGAAUUGAAUAGAAAUGUUAUCUUCCUCCUCAGCCUCCAGUGGGGAGCAGGAGAGAACUAAGCAGCAACCAUGUUAAUUUCCUUGAAUUCUUUUGCAUGCUGUUUUUCAUUAUUUUUCUCAAUACACAUAAUUUAAAGCCAUUCUACCUGUCUGCUUUUAUCCUGUUAGUCUCUGACAGGUGAGAUAUUAGGAGAGACAGGAUGUGUGAAUACAAGUAAGUAGAAACAAUUUGACAAACGUUCUCUUCCUUCCAAGAAAAGCAUCUCUUUUCCUGUUUUUCUCUGGCCUUGGAAUGAUGGAUUGUAAAAAUCGAAUCAACAUCUCCUUUUAUUACAACACAUUAGCUAGGCCCAGCCGAAGAUUUAUAGCUUUCUGUAAAAACAGAGUCUAGGGGAAUGUUAAAUACUCAGUUUUUACCAUCCUUUCUGCUUUUCACCCCCACCCCAAUCCUGUGGGAAUAGAUGGUCAAUACAUGGUGCUUAGGUAGUUACAAAGUCUAGGAGUUACUGAGUCGGAACUAGAUGCCCAGGAGAAAAGGCUGGUUAGCUUAGUUUGUUUCAUGAGUCAGACUUCCAAAAGUGGUUUGGUUAUUAUUCUAUCUUUUAAAUAUGGGGUCUCGUUAUAUUGCCCAGGCUGGUCUCAAACUCCUGGGCUCAAGUGAUUCUUUCACCUCAACCUCAUGAGCAGCUGCAAUUACAAGUGUGAGCCACUGCACCUGGCUAGCUUGGUUUAUAUGAAAAAGCAGUGAGUUUGGAAAUGGUUGAAUCUGUCCUUUUUAUAGGCAGAGCAACCAGGACUCAAGAAGUUUAACAUUCACUAGCUGGGUGAUCCUGGGGAGAUUAUUUUCCUUAAGUGCUAUUGAAAGGAGAAAAUCAUAUAAGGUCCAUGUAACACUUAUCAGAGUGCUGGCGCACAGGAGCACCUAACACUUUUUUUUGUGUACACCUAGUAACUGAAAAGAGUGGUCCUAACAUGUCACUGCCAGUUCCCCUUUUAGGUUUUAUUUCCCGUAAGGUUUUAUUACCCGCAUUCCUCACAUUUUUACAUGGAGAAGGGACUUUCUGUUCUACUAUCCAGAAGUAUAUGAAGAGCACUUCCAGCUCUCUUCCUUGUGAACUUUGCUUUGGCUCAGAGGAGGAGUAAAGGGGUCCCAUCCUGUUUGGGUAAUGAGCUGAGCCUGUGUGGCUGCUCACCAGGGUGAUCAUUCUUUUGUGGGUUCCCCCAACCCACAGGAUGUGUGUUGUCUCCUACUCCCUUUUGUGGGGCACUAACAGGGCCCCGCUGAUUCUGUAAAGAAGACUUUGAUGUCCUGCAGGCUCAGUGACUGGAUGGCAGCUAUCUAUAGCAUGUGAAAUCUCAAGAGGCUUAUUAUGACCACAUGUGUCAACUGUGUUCUCCAAUCUAGUUGCCAGAAAUGAAAUUAAGGUAUUUAACUCCGUCUGACUUCUGUGUUAUUCCUUGGUUGAUUUCCUAAUUUGGGAGUAGACAGAAAAGUUGAAGGCGCUAGGCCCAUUGCUCAUGCCUGUAAUCCCAGCACUUGGGGAGACUGAGAUGGCAGGAUCACUUGAGCUCAGGAAGUCCAGACCAGCCUAGACAACAUAAUGUAGACCCCAUCUCCACACACACACACACACACACACACACACUCACGUGCACGUGCAAAAAAUUGGCCAGGCAUGGCUGUGCAUGUCUGUAGUCCCAGCUACUCAAAAGGCUGAGGUAGGGGGUUUGCCUGAGCCCAGGAAGUCGAGGCUGCAGUAAGCCAUGAUCACACCACUGCAUUCUAGCCUGGGUGACAGAACACGAGUUAAGAAAAAAAAAAAAUGUUGAAGGCUAAUGUAUUAGUCCAUUCUCACGCUGCUAUGAAGAAACGAAGAAAUACCCAAGACUGGGAUAAUUUAUAAAGGAAAGAGGUUUAAUUGACUCACAGUUCUGCAGGGCUAGAGAGGCCUCAGGAAACUUACAAUCAUGGCAGAAAGGGACACAAACACAUCCUUCCUCACAUGGCAGCAGCAAAGAGAAGAGACAAGAGGGGUGAAAAGCCCCUUAUAAAACCAUCAGAUCUCAUGAGAACUCACUAUCAUGAGAACAGCAUGGCGGUAACUGCCCCCAUGAUUCAAUUACCUCCCACUGGAUCCCUCUUAUGACACAUGAGAAUUAUGGGAACUAUAAGAUUAAAUUUGGGUGGGGACACAGCCAAACCGUAUCAGCUAACUAAUGUUAAUAUCUUGUAAGAUCUUGAUCCAUUGGCCAGAUGUGUUGAGAGAGAAAUUCUGGUGGCUGGGAACACAACUAAUAAGGAGUCAGAUCAAGGCUUUGGGCCUUGCCAGGGCCCCAAACCUCAAAUAUUAGUACAAGAGCAGUUGGUGGAUCAUGGAAGCAUCUUUCUCCAUUGCUCAUGAUGAACAACUGUUUCUACUUGGUCAAGCUGAUUAGGACUUAGGAAGCAGGGCCCUGUGAUGCUCUAGCACUGACCUGAACUGACUCGGGCAUGUGUAGUCAUUCCGUUGGCAAAGGACGGCUCAGGCGAAAAUAAUAGGAAAAGUGUGUUUGAGCUUUGGUUAAGGCUCCAUUCCAAAGAGGCAAAUCUUUCCAGUGCGGCUGACUUGACUUUGGUGGAUGUUGCUAUUUUUCUUGUUUCUUAGCCAAAUUUGCAGGCCAGGACUUUAAUCUGCAAAGACAGCUGUAUUUCUUGCGGGGCUCAAGGCAUUCCUGUAGGCUUCUUGCAAGUCAUAUGAAGUUAGCCUCAGACCACCUGCCUCAAAUUCAGUUACUACUUGUGCUGUUUACAGAUAGCAUCCAGAGCCAAGUUAGAUAGCUAAGAAAAUAAGCAAAUGAAAUGCAAGUACUUUGUUUAGAUCUUAAUUUGAACAAUACAUUUUGAGACAAUUAGGGAUAUUUGAAUAUAGAUUGGGUAUUAGACAAUAACAAAGAGUUAU